rnacentral:lncRNA from 1 species
CGCAACGCAACGGGACGGGAAUGGCGACGGGAUCCGCGCAGGUCCCGGAAGCACUGCAGGAAGUGACGGUCAUUUCCACCCCCACCGCCCCCCAUCCCCCCCCGGGGCACCGCAGCCGCCCCCAUCCGCCCCCAACAGGGCCGCAGGAGCGCAGUGGGGAGCCGUGGGUGCCCGACAUGCUGAGCUCGGGGGACGAGGACCCCCCGCAGCCCCUGCUGUGGGUUUGGGUCCGGAGGAGGAGGAGGUGGAGGAGCUGCCCCAACACCGGGACGUCCUCCGGCUCCUCCUGCUCAGUUCCCAUCCUCUUCCCAUCCUUCCCAUCCCAUUCCCAUAGUCCCCAUCCCCUUCCCAUCCUUCCCACUCCCUUCCCAGCCCCUUCCCAUCCUUCCAUCCCUCAUUUCCAUCCCCUUCCCAUCCUUCCCAUCCCCUUCCCAUAGUUCCCAUCCCCUUCCCAUCCUUCCUAUCCCCUUCACAUGGCUCCCACCCCCCUUUCUACCCUUCCCACCCC